GGGGGGGGUUGCCACUGACCUUCGAGUGUCAAAGUUAAAGCAGAUCGUGGAGCAGACGUGGACGGUUGGUUCUCCAGGGAACGGUGAGAAAAGAUGAGUCCUCAGCACCUCAUCAGCACAUACUCGGAGCAGUUUGUCCCCCCCGGCGGAGGGAAGCCGGCUGUACCUCGGCCGUCGUCCCCUAGCCGUAGGAACAACCCCCACCCACGGCCGGACUUCCUGGUCCCUCUGCCACUGCUCUCCAGCUCGAGGUCACCAAGGGCAUCAGUAAACGCUGUUCCUUUCGUGGGCCGACCCUUAUUCCCUCCAGUUAGAUACCUGUCCUUUCAAGAGACCAGACCUGACAUCGGUCAAACUCGCAAAUUACCACGCAUAUCUUUCAUCGGUUCAUCAGCAACUCUGCCCUCUGCUGGUGGAUUUCAGAAAAUUCAGUCGACAGCUGCUGGAAUAGACAAUCAAGCGUACACAAGCAUCAUGAGGCAAAUGUCAGCCUCCAACUCCCAGAGGAGGCUGCAAUCUACCAACUCUCCUGCGGCACAACAUAAUCACAAACCACAACCAUACUGGCGCUCCAACACGCUGGAUUCAUGUGCUGGAUACAGCUGCUUCAAUGUAGUCAAGCCCUUCCAGGCCGGGCACUUCAUCAUACACCCCGAGUUUGUAUCAGAGAACCUACGCCCUGCGAACUUCGGGAAUAUCAACAACAAAUGUCAUUAGAUAUUCUAGCUGUAUAAAAGUAUGGUUGUCUAAUAAACCCUAUGAUUUUGUGCGUGGAUAUUUUAAAUGUAUAUUUAUCAAUAUAGAGAAAAUCUGUCAGACCCUAUGCUGCCACACCCUUUCCAACGUCCCUUGCAAAAGGCAUAGAUCCCUUUGUCUCAAAAUAAAAGUCUGAAACAAUACCAACUUUAAAAAAAGUACUUAAUUUAACCCGAUCGUGGUCGAUUAAUUUUUAGAGUGUGGUCUCCUUCUGGAAUAUUUAUGUUGUUC
ensembl:lncRNA